GACGAACGCUGGCGGCGUGCCUAAUACAUGCAAGUAGAACGCUGAAGAGAGGAGCUUGCUCUUCUUGGAUGAGUUGCGAACGGGUGAGUAACGCGUAGGUAACCUGCCUGGUAGCGGGGGAUAACUAUUGGAAACGAUAGCUAAUACCGCAUAAAAUGGAUUAUCGCAUGAUAAUCCAUUGAAAGGUGCAAAUGCAUCACUACCAGAUGGACCUGCGUUGUAUUAGCUAGUUGGUGGGGUAACGGCUCACCAAGGCGACGAUACAUAGCCGACCUGAGAGGGUGAUCGGCCACACUGGGACUGAGACACGGCCCAGACUCCUACGGGAGGCAGCAGUAGGGAAUCUUCGGCAAUGGACGGAAGUCUGACCGAGCAACGCCGCGUGAGUGAAGAAGGUUUUCGGAUCGUAAAGCUCUGUUGUAAGAGAAGAACGAGUGUGAGAGUGGAAAGUUCACACUGUGACGGUAACUUACCAGAAAGGGACGGCUAACUACGUG
rnacentral:rRNA from 1 species